CGGAGGGUGCAAGCGUUAUCCGGAUUCACUGGGUUUAAAGGGUGCGUAGGUGGGCAGUUAAGUCAGUGGUGAAAUCUCCGGGCUCAACCCGGAAACUGCCAUUGAUACUAUCUGUCUUGAAUAUCGUGGAGGUAAGCGGAAUAUGUCAUGUAGCGGUGAAAUGCUUAGAUAUGACAUAGAACACCAAUUGCGAAGGCAGCUUACUACCCGAAUAUUGACACUGAGGCACGAAAGCGUGGGGAUCAAACAGGAUUAGAUACCCUGGUAGUCCACGCCCUAAACGAUGGAUACUCGACAUACGCGAUACACAGUGUGUGUCUGAGCGAAAGCAUUAAGUAUCCCACCUGGGAAGUACGACCGCAAGGUUG
rnacentral:rRNA from 1 species